GAUGAACGCUGGCGGCGUGCCUAAUACAUGCAAGUCGAACGAAACUUCUUUAUCACCGAGUGCUUGCACUCACCGAUAAAGAGUUGAGUGGCGAACGGGUGAGUAACACGUAGGCAACCUGCCCAAAAGAGGGGGAUAACACUUGGAAACAGGUGCUAAUACCGCAUAACCAUAGUUACCGCAUGGUAACUAUGUAAAAGGUGGCUAUACUACCGCUUUUGGAUGGGCCCGCGGCGCAUUAGCUAGUUGGUAGGGUAAAGGCUUACCAAGGCAAUGAUGCGUAGCCGAAUUGAGAGGUUGAUCGGCCACAUUGGGACUGAGACACGGCCCAAACUCCUACGGGAGGCAGCAGUAGGGAAUCUUCCACAAUGGGCGAAAGCCUGAUGGAGCAACGCCGCGUGGGUGAAGAAGGUCUUCGGAUCGUAAAACCCUGUUGUUAGAGAAGAAAGUGCGUGAGAGUAACUGUUCACGUUUCGACGGUAUCUAACCAGAAAGCCACGGCUAACUACGUG
rnacentral:rRNA from 1 species